GGGGUAAAUCUUAGGGUUCGCUUCACACCAAACCACCACGUGAGGGGAAACUCAGCCAACGCCAAGGAACGGCUAUGUUUUCAAAAUAAAAACAUGAUUUAUGCGAAAUGUGAAUUUUUAACAGCCUUGGCGGUCUCGGUAGGAUGCCUCAGCCAAGGUGUCCUCGAGAAUGGAUUUAUGGCACAAGCCUAGUUUUAUGAGAUUCAUAAGCCUCUUUACGUAUUUUGAAUUAAAUGUGUUCUAAUGUUGUGACCCAGUUUACGAUGAUUUACUUGAUCGUCUUCAUGUACUCAACUUUAGAUGUUUAUGAUGAUGUUUGUUUACUCAUUGGGAGUUUAUAAUCUCACCACCCUCCUUUCCACCCAUUUAAGGCUCAGUAUAAGUUGUAGAUAACUGAUAUCGUCGAAGGCUACAGUUGGCUUUACUUCUUCAAAAACUAUAGGUUUGUAGCCUUCGUUCAUUUUUGUCAUUUGGGGAUCCACAUGUCACUGUAAAUUAAAUUUCAUACUCUAGUUAUCUAUACUACUGUAUGUAGGAAUUUAUUUUGCUUUUAUGCUGUAAAUAAUUAUUUACGUAGUAUCCUAAAAAUAUUGUUUUACAAGAAAAUGAGAGACUGAUAUUAAAACCUUGCGGGGUUCCGGUUGGCAUUCCGAGUAAUGAGCACCUAUUGAGACACCGCGGCGGUUGUCAUGGGCUCAAGGGGAGUACCGGGUCGUGACACUUAGAGUCAAAUUAAAG
rnacentral:lncRNA from 1 species